rnacentral:tRNA from 1 species
GAUACGAUACUUUAAAUGAAAAGAUUUGAUUUGCAUUCAAACACUGCGCACAAAUGUCGCUCGUGUCC